rnacentral:tRNA from 1 species
AAAUAAGAAACAAAAAAUUGUAUUUAGUUUCGACCUAAAAUUUUGGUGGAUACACCCUUAUUUU